AACCUCCUGGUGCUUACCACAAGCUGUGUCCUUACACUUAUAGAAAGAGGAGGCAGAGUAAACCUACCCUAUGUAUACCCCAGCCCAGGCCCCAUGAAACCUGGUCUGUAUGGUGAAUGGGAGAACAUGG